ACAGCAAGAAUCACCUUCUCACUUAAUCGUUGCAUUGUUUGAUGCAACACAGUUAAUCAACAUGUAAUUAAAUAACUAUUUCACACUUUCAUUAAUUAUUCAGAAUGGUUAACUGAAGAUAUUGAAAUGUGUGAAAGUAAGUUAGUCUGGGGGGGCGGGGAAAUAUUUGUUUAUCAAGAAUCUGAAAAUGUCUCUAUUUUGCAAUGACAGAAUCACAGAAUCGAGAGAAUCUGGCCAGAAAUCAACAACCGGGUUAACUACCCGUUGAAAGCUGCAUUGGUCCAACUGGUGGAUCAGGAGGAGCUGGACAUGGAGGACCAGAUGACUCGGUUCUGUGUGUCAUCUUUGACAUGCCAGUUGGCCCAGAUCGGUGUUAACCGAACUGUGCAAGCAUGGAAUGCACACAGGAUUCCUGGGAGGGGGAUACCAAAUUACUUGGCCAGAGAUGGAUGCCCAAAGAAGCUGUCGACAGACCUUUUGCCAAAUGCAUCUGUGGCUGCAGACUGGUACGACCAGGAAGUGGGCUCACUGACACGAGUGUCAGACUUUGGCACCAACCCAUUUCAAAGGUCACAGGACCAGGAAGCUGCAGUGAGGGAAUUUUCUCUGCAGUGCCCUGAUACAAGUGUACUGCUGGACAAUGCAGUGAAUAAUCUGCCACAACCGUUCAAAGAUGGACUCAAAGGCCUCAUCGACAUCUCAAGGAGAAAUUGUCAACGCUGAUGUUUUUUUGUGUGUCUAAGUUGUUAUUGUCUGUGCUUUUUAAUUAAUUGGUUCAACUGACGGGAUGUUUUUUUCUUUUCUUCAAAUGUUGGGGGUUUAAAGGGAGAAAUAUGUUCUUUUUGAAUAAACACUUAUGUCUUUAAAGUC